CCGAACGGAUUUAAAGAGUUUUGAUCCUUGGCUCAGGAUGAACGCUCCAGAAUAAGCUUAACACAUGCAAGUCGAGGGGCAGCAUGAUCUUACUUCGUUAAGGUCGAUGGCGACCGGCGCACGGGUGCGUAACGCGUAUGCAACUUGCCUUACAGAGGGGGAUAACCCGUUGAAAGACGGACUAAAACCGCAUACACUUGUAUUAUUGCAUGAUAUUACAAGGAAAUAUUUAUAGCUGUAAGAUAGGCAUGCGUCCCAUUAGCUUGUUGGUGAGGUAACGGCUCACCAAGGCGACGAUGGGUAGGGGAACUGAGAGGUUUAUCCCCCACACUGGUACUGAGACACGGACCAGACUCCUACGGGAGGCAGCAGUGAGGAAUAUUGGUCAAUGGGCGAGAGCCUGAACCAGCCAAGUCGCGUGAAGGAAGACUGUCCUAAGGAUUGUAAGCUUCUUUUAUACGGGAAUAACGGGCGAUACGAGUAUUGCAUUGAAUGUACCGUAAGAAUAAGCAUCGGCUAACUCCGUGCCAGCAGCCGCGGUAAUACGGAGGAUGCGAGCGUUAUCCGGAUUUAUUGGGUUUAAAGGGUGCGUAGGUUGUUCGGUAAGUCAGCGGUGAAACCUGAGCGCUCAACGUUCAGCCUGCCGUUGAAACUGCCGGGCUUGAGUUCAGUGGCGGCAGGCGGAAUUCGUGGUGUAGCGGUGAAAUGCAUAGAUAUCACGAGGAACUCCGAUUGCGAAGGCA
rnacentral:rRNA from 1 species